AGUGAACGCUGGCGGUAGGCCUAACACAUGCCAGUCGAACGGCAGCACAGUAAGUGCUUGUUCUUACGGGUGGCCAGUGGCGGACGGGUGAGGUAUACAUUGGAAUCUACUCUUUCGUGGGGGCUAUCGUAGGGAAACCUACGCCAAUACCGCAUACGCCCUACGGGCGUAAGCAGCUGAUCUUCGCACCUUGCGCGAUUGAGCGAGCCGAUGUCGGAUUUGUUAGUUGGGGGGGUAAAGGCCCACCAAGGCGCCGAUCCGUAGCCGGUCUGAGAGGAUGGUCAGCCACACUGGAGCUGAGACACGGUCCAGACUCCUACGGGAGGCAGCAGUGGGGAAUAGUGGGCAGUGGGCGCAAGCCUGAUCCAGCCAGACCGCGUGGGUGGAAGAGGCCUUCGGGUUGUGAAGCCGUUUUGUUGGGAGAGAAAAGCAGCAGGUUAAUACCCCGCUGUUCUGACGGUACCCAAAGAAUAAGCACCGGCUAACUUCGUG
rnacentral:rRNA from 1 species